rnacentral:sRNA from 1 species
CUCUCUGCUGCGGCGCGGGGACCGCUGUGCUCUCGACACGGUCUCAGUCUGUCACCCAGGCUGGAGUGCAGUGGCACCAUCUCUGCUCACUGCAGCCUCCACCUCUCGGCCUCAGGUGAUCCUCCCAGCUCAGCCUCCUGAAUAGCUAGGACCACAGGCGUACACCACCAUACCGGGCUGUUUUACAUAUUUUCUGUGGAGACGGGGUUUCACCACGUUGCCCUGGCUGGUCUUGAACUCCGCGACUCAAGCAAUCCGCACGCCUCGGCCUCCCAAAGUGCUGAGAUUACAGGCAUGAGCCACCGCGCCCAGCCUGAACCCCCUAUUUAAUGUCAGAAAUUUGAUUUGACUUCACAGGGAAAGCCCUGAGAAACUACCAGAACAGGGGCCCUCGGGCCAGUGUUGGGAGCAUACGGUGAAGUGGCAGGGCUGCUGCACCAGUGCGGAACUCCCCUGUGGAAGAUUAGCCCCUUUGGUGACUCGUCGGUUCUGGCCGCUGUGGGACCUUCCACUGUGCAGUCUGAACUUUCAGCAGGUGGAGGAGGGCAGAGACCU